rnacentral:rRNA from 1 species
AAAGUGGUGCUAAUACCGAAUGUUGUAACUUUGCUGCAUGGUAAAGUUACUAAAGGUGGCCUCUAUAUAUAAGCUAUCACUAGAAGAUGGGUCUGCGUCUGAUUAGCUAGUUGGUGAGGUAAAGGCUCACCAAGGCGACGAUCAGUAGCCGGUCUGAGAGGAUGAACGGCCACACUGGGACUGAGACACGGCCCAGACUCCUACGGGAGGCAGCAGUGGGGAAUCUUCCGCAAUGGACGAAAGUCUGACGGAGCAACGCCGCGUGAGUGAAGAAGGUUUUCGGAUCGUAAAGCUCUGUCUUCAGGGACGAACGUGUAGAUUGUAAAUAAUGAUUUAUAAUGACGGUACCUGAGGAGGAAGCCACGGCUAACUACGUGCCAGCAGCCGCGGUAAUACGUAGGUGGCAAGCGUUGUCCGGAAUUAUUGGGCGUAAAGCGCGCGCAGGCGGGAUGGUAAGUCUAACUUAAAAGUGCGGGGCUCAACCCCGUGAGGGGUUAGAAACUACCAUUCUUGAGUACAGGAGAGGAAAGUGGAAUUCCUAGUGUAGCGGUGAAAUGCGCAGAUAUUAGGAGGAACACCAGUGGCGAAGGCGACUUUCUGGACUGUGUCUGACGCUGAGGCGCGAAAGCCAGGGGAGUGAACGGGAUUAGAUACCCCGGUAAUCCUGGCCGUAAACGAUGGGUACUAGGUGUAGGAGGUAUCGACCCCUUCUGUGCCGGAGUUAACGCAAUAAGUACCCCGCC